rnacentral:rRNA from 1 species
AUUGAACGCUGGCGGCAUGCCUUACACAUGCAAGUCGAACGGUAACGGGCCUUCGGGCGCCGACGAGUGGCGAACGGGUGAGUAAUGCAUCGGAACGUGCCCAGUAGUGGGGGAUAGCCCGGCGAAAGCCGGAUUAAUACCGCAUGAGACCUGAGGGUGAAAGCGGGGGAUCGCAAGACCUCGCGCUACUGGAGCGGCCGAUGUCAGAUUAGCUAGUUGGUGGGGUAAAGGCCUACCAAGGCAACGAUCUGUAGUUGGUCUGAGAGGACGACCAGCCACACUGGGACUGAGACACGGCCCAGACUCCUACGGGAGGCAGCAGUGGGGAAUUUUGGACAAUGGGCGCAAGCCUGAUCCAGCAAUGCCGCGUGCAGGAAGAAGGCCUUCGGGUUGUAAACUGCUUUUGUCAGGGAAGAAAUCUUCUGGGUUAAUACCUCGGGAGGAUGACGGUACCUGAAGAAUAAGCACCGGCUAACUACGUGCCAGCCGCCGCCGUAAUAC